UCAAAAACAUUGUCUUAUGAUUAAAUAUAUAAGAUAAUUCCUGCCCAGUGAUUAUAUUUCAACGGCCGCGGUAUCUUGACCGUGCAAAGGUAGCAUAAUCAUUUGCUUUUUAAUUGAAGGCUUGUAUGAAUGGAUUUAUAAAACUAUACUGUCUCAGUUUUUAUAUUAAAAAUUUUCAUUUAGGUGAAGAGACCUAAAUAAAAAUAAAAGACAAAAAGACCCUAAUGAGCUUUAUUUUAUAUAAAUUUAAUAUUUUAAUUAAAAUUUGGUUGGGGUGACUAAGGAAUAAUUUUAUCUUCCUUUAUAAAAAGGCUUAUAUGCCUUUAAUUGAUCUUAUUUAAAGUAAAUAGAUAAGCUACCAUAGGGAUAACAGGCUAAUUUAUUUUAAGAGUUCACAUUGACAAAUAAGAUUGGCACCUCGAUGUUGGCUUAGGAUUCCCUAAAAUGCAGAAGUUUUAAUUGGUAAGUUUGUUCAACUUUUAAUAUCCUACGUGAUCUGA
rnacentral:rRNA from 1 species